GACGAACGCUGGCGGCGUGCUUAACACAUGCAAGUCGAACGGAAAGGCCCUGCUUUUGUGGGGUGCUCGAGUGGCGAACGGGUGAGUAACACGUGAGUAACCUGCCCUUGACUUUGGGAUAACUUCAGGAAACUGGGGCUAAUACCGGAUAGGAGCUCCUGCUGCAUGGUGGGGGUUGGAAAGUUUCGGCGGUUGGGGAGGGACUCGCGGCUUAUCAGCUUGUUGGUGGGGUAGUGGCUUACCAAGGCUUUGACGGGUAGCCGGCCUGAGAGGGUGACCGGCCACAUUGGGACUGAGAUACGGCCCAGACUCCUACGGGAGGCAGCAGGGGGGAAUAUUGCACAAUGGGCGGAAGCCUGAGGCAGCAACGCCGCGUGCGGGAUGACGGCCUUCGGGUUGUAAACCGCUUUCGCCUGUGACGAAGCGUGAGUGGCGGUAAUGGGUAAAGAAGCACCGGCUAACUACGUG
rnacentral:rRNA from 1 species